rnacentral:tRNA from 1 species
GCCUCAAUAGUAUAGUGGCUAGUACAUCGCCCUGUCGCGGCGGAGACCCGGGUUCGAUUCCCGGUUGGGGCG